rnacentral:tRNA from 1 species
CUCGGUGGCUUAGUGGUAAAGAAUCUGACUGCAAUGCAGAAGAUGGAGGAGACCCAGGUUCGAUACCUGGGUCGAGA